GUUCCUUGGUGAGAUAUGAAGAAGGGAAGUGGACACUCAAGUAUGUAAGGAACCCUACUCCACAGCCAGGUUUGAUUCCAUAUGGACACCCCAGGGGAUCCAACCUGGCUCUCAAAGGGAAAAAGUUCUCAGAGAGAAUUUUCUUCCAGGUCUGACUGUGGAACGCAGGACUGCAGUACUGGCAGGACACCUCCCAAAGCCCAUCAUCUGGGCUGAGCCAGGCUCUGUGAUUGCCAAAAAUACAUCUGUGAUUAUUUGGUGUCAAGGGUCGAGUGAGGCCCAGGAGUACCUUCUGCAUAAAGAGGGAAGUGUAGAUCCUUGGGAAAGACAGUUGCCACUGGAAACCAAGAACAAAGCCAAGUUCUGCAUUGAUUACAUGGAAGCCAUCUUUGAAGGAGUAUAUAAGUGUUAUUAUAAUAGCUCUGAUGGCUUGUCAGAGCACAGUAGUACCCUGGAACUGGUAAUAAAAGAAGAAUCAUCUUCAGAACAGCAAGGUCACACAGUUGAAGAUCUCUUCCGAAUAUUUUCAGCUUCCUUGGUUUUAGCAACUCUUGUGAUUCUGCUUUUAGAGGCUUGGUACAACAAUAAACUCAAACAAAAUGCAACCAGAAGAUGGAUAAAAACAAGAAAUACCACCA